GGAAGUCAGCCUCGCUGCCGGUGGCUGGAAGAAGUCUUGAGAAAGAGAAUAAGAGCAACAAUGGCAGCCGCAGGCACAAGAUGAGUAUUGCCGAAACCACAACUGUUAGAGACGAGCUCCCGUUAACGAUGUUAACGCUGAGUAUAGUAGCGAUUAUCGCUAUCGGUGAACAAGUACAUAUUCCACCAGCAGCUAGACUACCACCAUGAUUGGCGUCGUGCUCACAUACGAGAGUAUCCACGCGAGCGAUGUUAACGCCGCUGCUGAUCUCCGCCUUGCUUUGCCUGGAAUCGUCACCAUAUAAUCGGCUAAGCAAAUGGAGUUGCAGAUUUUUCCUAUUUCAGAAUGCUCAGUAAUAUCAGGAACAGUGGCGACAAAAAUACCUCGACACACAACAUUUUCCCUGCAAUUUGUUCGAGCAACUUCGAGCCUACAGCGAGCCUACUUUAUCCUGAUGUGACGGCCGGACCUGCGACGACGACGACGACGACGACAACACAAUCAUCGAUUAUUGUUGUCGCCAGUAAACUCCGAACACCAAGCUCUAGCCGGUAGCUUUGAGCUAAGAGGAGAAAACCCUUUUAAGCGACAACCCGUCAUCGCCGGCAUAGCUACCUCUGUCGAAGGCAAGCAGACGAGACAAUGACGAAUUCCAACGAAAUUGCGCUUCAGGCUGGAGAAAAACCCUUCAAUACUGUCAGUUUACCAGCUUUCGACUAACAGUUUUCCAUGCCAAGUAAUAUCCUCGUCCAGCCUUUUUUGCUGGACCGUCCAGAGCACUAAUGAUGAGACACGAGAGCCGUACCAGUUUAGAAAGGCCCAAUUGUGACGCGACUGCACACCCUUAUAUGGGUAUAUCAUGAUGGUAAGGUAAAAAUCAAACAUUUAGUUUAUAUCGUCCGACAACACAGCGGGUAAGCAUACAAGGUCAAUUAGAAAAUAUUCUAUAGUCUACUGCUAGUCCUCUACCUCUGGCUAUGUAUACCGAUGAACGCGGAGCAAAACGUAAGGAUAAAUCUAGUGUAUAUAUAAAAUAUGGUGUAUAUAUAAUAAGUCGUCAGAUUAUUGUUACAUAAGAAGAAACAAUUUUAGUACCCAUCACUGAAGUGGUGUUACUUUGCUGUUGAAAUGGUUUACCGCCAUCGAGUUCACGCACUUCUAUUGUUUUUUUUUAGACAUCAGACGCGUUCGCCCAUUGAAAAGGUACAUUGACCGUCAAUAGGAACGGUGAGCGACAAAUCACAGCACGAUAAAUUGCACAAAACGUAGAUGGCCGCAUAAAGCGAAACAUGUAUUUUUUAAAACUUGUUCAUUAGCCUGCUAGUACGAGAUGCAUAUACGAAUAGGAUAAACCAACAGCCGAAAUCUUUGAUGUCUGUCAAUAAUAUUGAGACAUUAUUUACGUUAUAUAUAUAAGUUUAAUUUUCAUUUGGUAUUAUUGCGACAUUGCGUUCGUGAUUUGUGAUGAACGGUAACGCACGGCUGUGUAGAAACAGCCGUUUCUGAUCGUCUAAUACAUAAUUACUAUUGUAAAAAGAAAAACUCAAGAAGAAUACACCGUAAGAUAAAAAACGGUAAAAAAUAAUGGCGGAUUCCGUAUUAGUUUGUCGGGUAUCUGAAAUAUAUGUGGCUUACUGAAUCAGAUAUCGCAAACAAUCGAAUUGCCUUCUUGUGAAUAGAAAUGGUAUAAGUUACAUUGGUGGACCCGAGUGAACUUCGGUGCGAUCGAUGUACAAGGCCGUGCAGAAGGUUCCUUAGCAAAAGGUUCAAUUCUUCUAACGGAAUCGUUCGCGCGAUAGAAAAUACAGUUAACCUCUAUUCCAUAUCAACUGUAAACCUACAAUAACUCGUCCUGUGUGUUGACAGCCAUAACUAAUGGCUUGUAUAUAUUUGGCCUUCCUUCUUUUCCUUACGUAUUAGACAGUUGCGGAAGGUCAAACACGCAUAUGCCCUUAUAAUUUUCGGUGACACUCGUAAUUAUGUAUCGAAAUUCUGAUAAGAAAAAACUCGGUAGAACUUCCAAAGAAACGGCGGAAUUGUUUAUCCAAUGCUAAUAGAGAUCACUCUUUUUGUUUUUCGGCAGUGUACCUGAGGGUUACUUGUAACACUAGUUUCUACCGUAAUAAAGCUGUCACAUCCAGACAAAAAACGGGACCUAUGUUUCCUCCUU